GGAACAUUUUACAGACAGAAGUGAAGUAAGUUGCUCAGUUAUAUAGCUAGUAAGUGUCCGAGGCUGGAUUUGAACUCAGAGUAUUAAGAACUGAGAUUCCACCUCACCUCCAUUUCUUUGAUAUCUUUCUCUUUCAUAUGCUUUGAGAACUGAUCUCUCCCUCCCUGCUGACUCUCCAAUCUAUUCCGCCUUCAUAUCCAUCCUCUGAAGCUAGCUCUACUCUGAAGACAAAUCCUGUUCAGGCAUGGUCUUCCUACAUUCAGUUGAAACAUGGCAUAAUGAAAAGAAAACUAGCUUCAUAGAUGGGAAGACCUGAUUUCUUCUUCGUCCUCUGACACAUACAAGUUCUGAGACAUUGGCCAAGGCACAGCCUUUCUGUGUCUAGGCAACUAAGACUGUAAGUUGCAGAGAAGGUGCCAACUUUCAUUAAGAGGAGGAAUUUCAUUAUGUUGGAGAUUCCUGUAUUAAGAAA